ACCAGACUCCUACGGGAGGCAGCAGUGGGGAAUAUUGCACAAUGGGGGAAACCCUGAUGCAGCGACGCCGCGUAAAUGAAGAAGUAUUUCGGUAUGUAAAGCUCUAUCAGCAGGGAAGAAAUAGCGACCUUUGGGUCGCCAGACGGUACCUGACUAAGAAGCCCCGGCUAACUACGUGCCAGCAGCCGCGGUAAUACGUAGGGGGCAAGCGUUAUCCGGAUUUAUUGGGUUUAAAGGGUGCGUAGGCGGAUUGUUAAGUCGGCGGUAAACGCCGGGGGCCCACCCCGGGCGAGCCGUUGAAACUGGCUGUCUUGAGAUGUCGAGAGGUAUGCGGAAUGCGCAGUGUAGCGGUGAAAUGCUUAGAUAUUGCGCAGAACUCCGAUUGCGAAGGCAGCAUACCGGCGCUCAACUGACGCUCAUGCACGAAAGCGUGGGUAUCGAACAGGAUUAGAUACCCCAGUA
rnacentral:rRNA from 1 species